CGGUCGCGUAACACGUAAGCAACCUGCCCUGAAGUGGGGGACAACAUCCCGAAAGGGGUGCUAAUACCGCAUGUGGUCACGAGUCGGCAUCGACUUGUGUCUAAAGAUUUAUCGCUUCAGGAUGGGCUUGCGGCCUAUCAGGUAGUUGGUGGGGUAAUGGCCUACCAAGCCGACGACGGGUAGCUGGUCUGAGAGGACGAUCAGCCGGAUUGGGACUGAGAUACGGCCCAGACUCCUACGGGGGGCAGCAAUUAGGAAUCUUGCGCAAUGGGGGAAACCCUGACGCAGCGACGUCGCGUGAAGGAUGAAGGCCCUCGGGUCGUAAACUUCUUUUGAGUGGGAAGAAAUUUGACGGUACCACUCGAAUAAGCCCCGGCUAACUACGUGCCAGCAGCCGCGGUAAUACGUAGGGGGCGAGCGUUGUCCGAAGUUACUGGGCGUAAAGCGCGCGUAGGCGGUUAUUUAAGUCUGGGGUGAAAGGUUCAGCGCUCAACGUGAACAGU
rnacentral:rRNA from 1 species